AGACUUUAAAAAUAAACAAAAAGAUUUUCACUAAUUUUUUGAGUCUCUCACACUCCUCGGGUGGAGAAACAGAAAUCCUAACAUGAUAAUAGGUUCUAGUGGGUGCUGCGGUCCCAUUGAUAUACGACACCUCAUCUAACAGUUAUUGGUGAUAUAUAUAUCAAUGCAUCGAUAACUCUUUGUCUAGAUGCUUCUUUAAGUAUGUUACAGCGACUUGAUCUCUAAGUCCUGUGGCCUCACCU
rnacentral:lncRNA from 1 species